rnacentral:rRNA from 1 species
UGAGGAACAUGACCUUCGGCGGGGGAUAGCCGGCCCAACGGCCGGGUAAUACCGCGUACGACCACAUGGGGACAUCCCUGAGUGGUGAAAGCAGCAAUGCGCCGAUGGAGUGCCUCGCGGCCUAUCAGCUAGUUGGUGAGGUAACGGCUCACCAAGGCAACGACGGGUANCUGGUCUGAGAGGAUGGCCAGCCACGUGUGNUGACACGCCGAC